UACGUGCCAGCAGCCGCGGUUAUACGUAGGUGGCAAGCGUUGUCCGGAAUUACCUGGGUGUAAAGGGCGUGUAGGCGGGGAUGCAAGUCAGGUGUGAAAGCCCAUGGCUCAACUGUGGGACUGCAUCUGAAACUGAAUCUCUUGAGUACUGGAGAGGGAAGUGGAAUUCCUAGUGUAGCGGUGAAAUGCGUAGAGAUUAGGAGGAACACCAGUGGCGAAGGCGGCUUCCUGGACAGUAACUGACGCUGAGGCGCGAAAGCGUGGGGAGCGAACAGGAUUAGAUACCCUGGUAGUCCACGCCGUAAACGAUGGAUACUAGGUGUAGGAGGUAUCGACCCCUUCUGUGCCGGAGUUAACACAUUAAGUAUCCCACCUGGGGAAUACGACCGCAAGGUUGAAACUCAAAGGAAUUGACGGGGGCCCGCACAAGCAGUGGAGUAUGUGGUUUAAUUCGAAGCAACGCGAAGAACCUUACCAGGGCUUGACAUCCCUUGACAGCUCUAGAGAUAGAGUUUCCCUUCGGGGCAAGGAGACAGGUGGUGCAUGGUUGUCGUCAGCUCGUGUCGUGAGAUGUUGGGUUAAGUCCCGUAACGAGCGCAACCCUUAUUGUUAGUUGCCAGCAAGUAAAGUUGGGCACUCUAACGAGACUGCCGGUGAUAAAUCGGAGGAAGGUGGGGAUGACGUCAAAUCAUCAUGCCCCUUAUGUCCUGGGCUACACACGUACUACAAUGGCUGGUACAGAGGGGAGCUAAGCCGCGAGGUGGAGCCAAUCCCCAAAACCAGUCCCAGUUCGGAUUGCAGGCUGCAAUUCGCCUGCAUGAAGUGGGAAUUGCUAGUAAUGGCAGGUCAGCAUACUGCCGUGAAUACGUUCCCGGGCCUUGUACACACCGCCCGUCACACCAUGAGAGUUUGCAACACCCGAAGUCAGUAGUCUAACUUAUGAGACACUGCCGAAGGUGGGGCGUAUGAUUAGGGUGAAGUCGUAACAAG
rnacentral:rRNA from 1 species